rnacentral:rRNA from 1 species
UUAUUCUUAGGGGAGCGAAGCAUUACCGGAAGGGGAUGUGGACCGCUAAGAAGAGAGAAUGCCGGAAUGAGUAGCGAGAGCAAGGUGGGAAUCCUUGCGGCCGAAUAUCCAAGGUUUCCAGAGUAAAGCUGAUCUGCUCUGGGUAAGUCGGGGCCUAAGGAGAGGCAGAGAUGCGUAUCCGAUGGACAGCAGGUUUAAGAUUCCUGCACCCCUUGUUAUCAGAACUGCGGGGACACGGGAAGGGAAGCAGAGCCGGGAAUGGAAAGCCCGGUGCAAGCGAAGUAGUCGCAGGGUUGGAAAAUCCGCCCUGCAUGAGACGAAGGCGUGAUGCGGAGCGAAAUGAAGUAGUGAAGCUGCAGCCCCUUCCUGUCGAGAAAAGCCGCUAUCGUGUAGCAAGGGCCCGUACCGUAAACCGACACAGGUGGAUGAGGAGAGGAUCCUAAGGCCGGCGGGAGAAGUGUUGUUAAGGAACUCGGCAAAAUGACUCCGUAACUUCGGGAGAAGGAGUGCUGCGCAAGCAGCCGCAGAGAAAUGGCCCAAGCAACUGUUUAGCAAAAACACAGGUCUAUGCGAAACCGAAAGGUGAGGUAUAUGGGCUGACGCCUGCCCGGUGCUGGAAGGUUAAGGGGAGAGCUUAGCGCGAGCGAAGGUUUGAACUUAAGCCCCAGUAAACGGCGGCCGUAACAAUAACGGUCCUAAGGUAGCGAAAUUCCUUGUCGGGUAAGUUCCGACCCGCACGAAAGGCGUAAUGAUUUGGGCACUGUCUCAACAACACACCCGGUGAAAUUGAAAUACCAGUGAAGAUGCUGGUUACCCGCGCCAGGACGGAAAGACCCCAUGGAGCUUUACUCCAGCCUGAUACUGGGAUUCGGUAUUGCAUGUACAGGAUAGGUGGGAGGCUGAGAACUCAUGGCGCCAGCCGUGAGGGAGCCGGUGUUGGGAUACCACCCCUGCAGUACUGGGUUUCUAACCUGCGCCCGUGACCCGGGCGGGGGACAAUGUCAGGCGGGGAGUUUGACUGGGGCGGUCGCCUCCGAAAGGGUAUCGGAGGCGCUCAAAGGUCUCCUCAGGAUGGUUGGAAACCAUCCAGAGAGUGCAAAGGCAGAAGGAGGCUUGACUGCGACACCGACGGGUGGAGCAGGUACGAAAGUAGGACUUAGUGAUCCGGUGGCAUAAAGUGGGAUUGCCAUCGCUUAACGGAUAAAAGCUACCCUGGGAUAACAGGCUUAUCACUCCCAAGAGUUCACAUCGACGGAGUGGUUUGGCACCUCGAUGUCGGCUCAUCGCAUCCUGGAGCUGGAGCAGGUUCCAAGGGUUGGGCUGUUCGCCCAUUAAAGCGGUACGCGAGCUGGGUUCAGAGCGUCGUGAGACAGUUCGGUCCCUAUCCGGCGCGGGCGCAGGAUAUCUGAGAGGAGCUGUCCUUAGUACGAGAGGACCGGGAUGGACCGUCCGCUGGUGGACCGGUUGUCAUGCCAAUGGCACGGCCGGGUAGCUAAGACGGGAAGGGAUAAACGCUGAAGGCAUCUAGGCGUGAAGCCCCCCUCAAGAUGAGAUAUCCAUACUCGAAAGAGUGAGAGACCCCUUAGAGACGAUGAGGUAGAAAGGGCAGAGAUGGAAGUGCAGCGAUGCAUGGAGUUGUCUGUUACUAAUCGGUCGAAAGCUU